CUCUGCCAAGGAGAGAAGACCGGGGUGGGGAUGAGGCUCCGAGGGGGCAUCCUGGGGCCACUCGGCAGCCACUAGUUGGAGAGCCCUGGAGGGGGGCUUCCUGGAGGAGGAGGAUUUUAGCAGGGACGAAAGAAGGCCGGCUGGUCCCUGGGCAGAGCAGAGAAGGGAGAACAUUCCAGACAGGAGGAUGCCAGAGACGGAGCGUCUCCUCGGUGGGGCAGCCGGGGCGCCCCGAGAGGCCCAGGCCUAGAAACGAGCUGUGUGACCCUGGUCAAGUCACUUAGCCCCCCUGCCCAGCCCCGUGGCCUUGGAACCGAUCCACAGCCGGAAGGUGGGGUUUAAAGGCAUAGCGGCAGGUGUCGGGCCCCGCAGAGCUUUCCCAUUGGCCCGGGCGGUUUCGGGGCCCCUCCCCCACCCCGUCCUCAUCCUGGCGGUCACCCUGGGCGAGCGGCCGAGGGGCCCGCAGCCCGGACGGACGGACGGACGGAGGCCGGCGGGGCUGGCGCCAGCUCCUUCGGAGGGAGCCGUUUGGGCAGAAGCGGGGCCCCCGCGGCGGUGGACCGAGAGAGGAGGGAGCCGGGGGAGGGGGAGGUCUGGAGGAUGCCGGAGCGGGGAGGGGAGGAGGAGAUGAGGGCGAGGGGCGGGGACGAGGUGGGCCGCGCUCUGCCCGGCCUCUCGGGGCUACUUUCGCUCUCCGUCCGGCGCUCCCAGCCCCUAGAGCAGCGCCAGGCACCACAGGGAGUGAGCUCCCCGUCACCCGAAGUCUCCAAGCAAUGGCUCAGCGUGGCCCCAGGGGGCUUCCCGCUUGGGUCCGCGGGGUCGGAAGGGUCUGGAGCGCCUGCACCCCGCACGCCGGGCUGGGGCGGGGGCCGGUUCCAGUCCUCACCGGAACAGCUCGAUCUCGUCGUCCCCGAAGGGCUUGUAGUCGCCCUCUGCGAACAUGCUGAGAUGAGGAAACUGAGGCCAGGGGAGGGCCCCACCCCAUCCACACAGGCGGGAAUCCUGGGCUCAGACCCUUUGCCUUGAGCCCCUCCUCUCCUGCAGGAGCCUGGACUGAGCCUCCCCCAGAGGCCUGCAACCUGGGGCAGGAGGCAGGGAGGGCCUGGUGGUAGACCCAGCUCCACCCUGGGGCAAGCGACUGCCUCAGUUUCCCUCACUGGGGAUUGGGGAGAAGGAACCUUGCUCCUCGGGAGACAGAAGAGCCUUCUCAAGUCUUGGGGUCACCAGGCACAAUCCACGAGGAUGCCGAGAGCCCAGCCAGAACGGGACCCUCCUACAUGGGCACAAGGUGGCCGGGGAAGGAGCGCAGCCCCAAGCUUCCUGCCGAGGGGACUCCGCGCCUCUGAAGCCCCCCUUCCAGCGCUGAAAGUCCAGCUUGGAAGAUUCUGGAGGCUGACCCCGAGGCCUACGCUAGCAUUCUAAGCCUGUUGGGCUUGGCUGAGGCUACCCUGCGGUGCCUUAAGACUGUCUCUAGUUCCUUGUUUAGUUCAAACUAAUAAAAAACCCAUGCUGGUGGUGGACCUUGUGGGCCACUGGAACCCCCA